UUGAAAGGGAAACGAUUGAAGUCAGUCGUACCUGCGGGUAAUCAGCCUUUUGGGCAUGAUUCUGUGGAGCGUGAGGAGUUAAACGCCUUCAUGCCUGCAUAUUCGUGUACUUUUGGGUGUACUUGCCUGUGUGGUUAGUUAACAUCAAUUUUGGUUAUCAUAAAAUGGUUGGAGGAAUGUAGCUUCGAUUUCGAUUGAAGUGUUAUAGCCUUCGGCAGAUGUGAUGAUCGGGAUUGAGGAUUGCAACGGAUACCCUUCGGGGCUACCUGUCUGAUCUCUGGUCGUUGCUCUGGUGCCGAAAGCGUGCUUACGGUUAUCAAAGUCGAUGGUCAAUAGGUUAGAAUGGGUUAAAUUCGUUAAGGAUGUUGACGUA
rnacentral:rRNA from 1 species